GGCUUAGAGUUUGAUCAUGGCUCAGGAUGAACGCUGGCGGCACGCUUAACACAUGCAAGUCGAGCGGAGUUUUGUGCGGAAGAUUUCGGUUGGAAGUAUAGAACUUAGCGGCGGACGGGUGAGGAACGCGUGGGUAACCUGCCCUGUACAGGGGGAUAACACAGAGAAAUCUGUGCUAAAACCGCAUAAGCUCACGGGACCGCAUGGUCUUGGGAGAAAAACUCCGGUGGUACAGGAUGGGCCCGCGUCUGAUUAGCUAGUUGGAGAGGUAAGAGCUCACCAAGGCGACGAUCAGUAGCCGGUCUGAGAGGAUGGACGGCCACAUUGGGACUGAGACACGGCCCAAACUCCUACGGGAGGCAGCAGUGGGGAAUAUUGCACAAUGGGGGAAACCCUGAUGCAGCGAUGCCGCGUGAAGAAAGAAGAUUUUCGGAUUGUAAACUUCUAUCAGCAAGGAAGAAAACGGACAGUACUUGAGUAAGAAGCCCCGGCUAACUACGUGCCAGCAGCCGCGGUAAUACGUAGGGGGCGAGCGUUAUCCGGAAUUACUGGGUGUAAAGGGUGCGUAGGCGGUACGGCAAGUUUGAUGUGAAACCCUCGGGCUUAACCCGGGGCAUGCAUCGAAAACUACUGAACUAGAGUGCAGGAGAGGAAAGCG
rnacentral:rRNA from 1 species